rnacentral:rRNA from 1 species
GCGAACUUGGGGAACUGAAACAUCUCAGUACCCAAAGGAAAAGAAAAUAACCCAAUGAUUGCGCCAGUAGUGGCGAGCGAACGCGCAAGAGCCCAAACCGGCGGUGUUCAGGCACUGACCGGGGUUGUAGGACCGUCAGCAAAUGGACAGUUUGAAGUUAGCCGAAGCCUCUGGAAAGGGGCGCCGCAGCGGGUGACAGCCCCGUAGGCGAAAACAGACGACUGACAGAGACGGCACCUGAGUAAGCCGGGACACGAGAAAUCCUGGCCGAAUCCGCGGGGACCAUCCCGUAAGGCUAAAUACUACCGAGAGACCGAUAGCGAACCAGUACCGUGAGGGAAAGGUGAAAAGAACCUCGAACAGAGGAGUGAAACAGACCCUGAAAUCAUGUGCCUACAAGCGGUCGGAGCUGCUUCGUGCAGUGACGGCGUGCCUUUUGCAUAAUGAACCUACGAGUUACCGUCGUUGGCGAGGCUAAGUCCACUGAUGGACGGAGCCGAAGCGAAAGCGAGUCAGAAUAUGGCGCAAUCUAGUCAGCGGCGGUAGACGCGAAACCAAGUGAUCUACCCUUGGGCAGGUUGAAGGUGGGGUAACACCCACUGGAGGACCGAACCGGUAAGCGUUGAAAAGCUUUCGGAUGACCUGAGGGUAGGAGUGAAAGGCCAAUCAAACUUGGAGAUAGCUCGUACUCCCCGAAAUGCAUUUAGGUGCAGCCUCGGGCGCAGUACCGUGGAGGUAGAGCGACUGAUAGGAUGCGAGGGCUUCACCGCCUAUCAAGUCCUGACAAACUCCGAAUGCCACGGCACGAUCCCCGGGAGUGAGGGCGCGGGUGCUAAGGUCCGCGUCCGAGAGAGGAACAACUCAGACCACCGUCUAAGGCCCCCAAAUCCGGGCUAAGUUGAAGACAAUAACGAGGUGGGAUUGCAAGGACAGCUAGGAUGUUGGCUUGGAAGCAGCCAUUCAUUUAAAGAGUGCGUAACAGCUCACUAGUCGAGUGAUCCCGCAUGGAUAAUAAUCGGGCAUAAGUCCGGUGCCGAAGACGUGGAAUCGACGGUUAAACCGUCGAUUGGUAGGGGAGCAUUCCGGUAGCCGCAGAAGGUCAGGCGCGAGCCUGGCUGGAGGUCCCGGAAAAGCAAAUGUAGGUAUAAGUAACGACAAAGGGGGCGAGAAACCCCCUCGCCGCAAGACCAAGGGUUUCUGAUCAACGCUAAUCGGAUCAGAGUCAGUCGGGACCUAAGGCACAGCCGCAAGGCGCAGCCGAUGGAAGAAACGGUCAACAUUCCGUUACUCCCUUCAGGAGUGACGUGGAGACGGAGAAGUGACACUCCCGCGUGCUGACGGAAUAGCACGUUAAACCGCGUAGGUAUAUCUGAGGCAGGCAAAACCGCCUCAGAUGCUGAAACGGGACAGUACGGAGAGCCCCCGUGGCAAUCCGACAGCGGAGGUAAUCAGGCUCCCAAGAAAAUCCGCUAAACUUAAUCCUGAAGGGACCCGUACCCCAAACCGACACAGGUGGUCGGGUAGAACAUACCAAGGCGCUCGAGAGAUUCACGGUUAAGGAACUAGGCAAAUUGACCCCGUAACUUCGGGAUAAGGGGUCCCCUCCUUCAGGGGAGGGGCGCAGAGAAUAGGUCCAGGCAACUGUUUAACAAAAACACAGGGCUGUGCGAAAUUGAAAGAUGAAGAAUACAGCCUGACACCUGCCCGGUGCCGGAAGGUUAAGAGGAGAUGUCAUCGCAAGAGAAGCAUUGAAUUGAAGCCCCGGUAAACGGCGGCCGUAACUAUAACGGUCCUAA